ensembl:lncRNA
CUUCUGUCUCCUCUUUGAUAGUCCAGGUAAAUCAAGUAUUUCAAAUAAAAUUUAAAAAGCAACAAAAAUCCUCAGACAGACUUUAAUAAAGACUUUAAUGAGCAGAGUUCAACAAGAUGUUUGUUACUCCAGCAAAGAUUUAUGCCGGCAAAAGCCAACUUAGGUCUUCAACAUAAACCAAAUUCCCCUAUAUUUAGCUGAGGUUAGAGGAUUCAGUAUCAGGUUCACAUGAUUCUAAUAGCUGAGAGGAUGGAAUCUAUAACAUAUAUUUCUCUCCCUAUAAUUCUUGUUGACUUGACAUAGUACCACUCCCUCCUAACGUUCUUUUAUUUCCCCAAAGCUUGAAAUUCUAGUGAGAGCUGUAACAGCAUCUCAAUCCAACAGCUUUCUGAUUGCUCCCUCUUCAUAUGAUUUCCCUGAGUUCUGUGCUUCCUUGACAGCUCUUUCUCAUUACAGAAAGCUCUUCCUACCUCAUUAUUCAAUAUCCUAUAUUGUCCCUAAAUGCAGAGAUCUCCCCCUCCCCCACUUCAGGUCUCAGUAGGAGCCCAUGACUCAUUUUUAUACUCUCUCCCCAGGAGCCCUCAGUUUCCCAGGUGCAUUUCAUAAGAGAGAGUGCAAAUGGUUGCUUAGGCAAAAACAUCUUUCAGGUGAAUGCAUAUAAAGGCAGCAGACGGGCAGCACUGAGGGACUGGAUUUAUUUGCUUACUUUUCUUAUUGUUUGCUUAUUCCCAUAUCUAAUUCCCUUCACAGGCUGUAUAGACCAACUCCUUCAAUUCCUCUUGUUGGUUUUUUUUUUUUCCACAGUUGGCUUCUGCUUUCCUAUAUCCUCUUCCUUCUUAAUUUUAGCAUGCUUAGGAGGAGCAAAUCACCCAAAGAGGAUCCUAGGGGGAAAGUCCUGAUGCAGCUAUGAAGUACAUAAAGAGGAGCUUGUUUGCUCAGCUUAUUGAGGGUAGAAACUUUGCCAAGCUAUAAGGAACAAAAGUGGAGUUGCUAUGUUGUUCUUAAGGUAUUUUCCUUAUAGCAGCCCUGCUUCACAAGGUGGGAAUCAACAGCUCUAUUGUCUCACUUGAAUUCUCCUUUUACUUGCUCUGUGGUAUCAAGAUUGUUCUGCAUUCUCUGUGGCUCCUCUGAUGCAAUUCCUAUUGUAUCAUAAAGGGAUUUAUGUUCAUUGGUGCUUAAUUUCCUGUCAUCUAUUUCUGUGGAUCUUCUUAAAAACACUCUACUCAGAUCAAUACAAAAUGAUCUUGUUUCCCUAGCAAAUUUCCUUGCUGUUAGAAAAGAGUGAUGGAGUUCCUACAUGAAUAAAAAGCACUCGAGCAAUUUAUUUUUCCAAAUCGUCAAAUCAAUUAAUUCCUUCGUGCUAAAUUAUUACAGAAGUUGAACUCAUAGGGCUACAUGGAGACUUCUACUACAAGCUGAGAAGACA